AAAUUGAAGAGUUUGAUCAUGGCUCAGAUUGAACGCUGGCGGCAGGCCUAACACAUGCAAGUCGAGCGGAAACGAGUUAUCUGAACCUUUGGGGGACGAUAACGGCGUCGAGCGGCGGACGGGUGAGUAAUGCCUAGGAAAUUGCCCUGAUGUGGGGGAUAACCAUUGGAAACGAUGGCUAAUACCGCAUGAUGCCUACGGGCCAAAGAGGGGGACCUUCGGGCCUCUCGCGUCAGGAUAUGCCUAGGUGGGAUUAGCUAGUUGGUGAGGUAAGGGCUCACCAAGGCGACGAUCCCUAGCUGGUCUGAGAGGAUGAUCAGCCACACUGGAACUGAGACACGGUCCAGACUCCUACGGGAGGCAGCAGUGGGGAAUAUUGCACAAUGGGCGCAAGCCUGAUGCAGCCAUGCCGCGUGUGUGAAGAAGGCCUUCGGGUUGUAAAGCACUUUCAGUCGUGAGGAAGGUAGUGUAGUUAAUAGCUGCAUUAUUUGACGUUAGCGACAGAAGAAGCACCGGCUAACUCCGUGCCAGCAGCCGCGGUAAUACGGAGGGUGCGAGCGUUAAUCGGAAUUACUGGGCGUAAAGCGCAUGCAGGUGGUUUGUUAAGUCAGAUGUGAAAGCCCGGGGCUCAACCUCGGAAUUGCAUUUGAAACUGGCAGACUAGAGUACUGUAGAGGGGGGUAGAAUUUCAGGUGUAGCGGUGAAAUGCGUAGAGAUCUGAAGGAAUACCGGUGGCGAAGGCGGCCCCCUGGACAGAUACUGACACUCAGAUGCGAAAGCGUGGGGAGCAAACAGGAUUAGAUACCCUGGUAGUCCACGCCGUAAACGAUGUCUACUUGGAGGUUGUGGCCUUGAGCCGUGGCUUUCGGAGCUAACGCGUUAAGUAGACCGCCUGGGGAGUACGGUCGCAAGAUUAAAACUCAAAUGAAUUGACGGGGGCCCGCACAAGCGGUGGAGCAUGUGGUUUAAUUCGAUGCAACGCGAAGAACCUUACCUACUCUUGACAUCCAGAGAACUUUCCAGAGAUGGAUUGGUGCCUUCGGGAACUCUGAGACAGGUGCUGCAUGGCUGUCGUCAGCUCGUGUUGUGAAAUGUUGGGUUAAGUCCCGCAACGAGCGCAACCCUUAUCCUUGUUUGCCAGCGAGUAAUGUCGGGAACUCCAGGGAGACUGCCGGUGAUAAACCGGAGGAAGGUGGGGACGACGUCAAGUCAUCAUGGCCCUUACGAGUAGGGCUACACACGUGCUACAAUGGCGCAUACAGAGGGCGGCCAACUUGCGAAAGUGAGCGAAUCCCAAAAAGUGCGUCGUAGUCCGGAUUGGAGUCUGCAACUCGACUCCAUGAAGUCGGAAUCGCUAGUAAUCGUGGAUCAGAAUGCCACGGUGAAUACGUUCCCGGGCCUUGUACACACCGCCCGUCACACCAUGGGAGUGGGCUGCAAAAGAAGUAGGUAGUUUAACCUUCGGGGGGACGCUUACCACUUUGUGGUUCAUGACUGGGGUGAAGUCGUAACAAGGUAGCGCUAGGGAACCUGGCGCUGGAUCACCUCCUUAAACGAUGAU
rnacentral:rRNA from 1 species